rnacentral:rRNA from 1 species
UACGUAGGGUCCGAGCGUUGUCCGGAGUUACUGGGCGUAAAGCGCGCGCAGGCGGCGGUGCUGGCCCGGCGUGAAAGCCCCCGGCUCAACCGGGGAGAGUCGUCGGAGACCGCACCGCUUGAGGGCGGUAGGGGCUGGUGGAAUGCCUGGUGUAGUGGUGAAAUGCGUAGAGAUCAGGCAGAACACCUGGGGCGAAGGCGGCCAGCUGGGCCGUCCCUGACGCUGAGGCGCGAAGGCGUGGGGAGCGAACGGG